rfam:Salmo salar isolate Sally breed double haploid chromosome ssa01, whole genome shotgun sequence.
UGCACGCAUGACUGUAAGUCGCUUUGGAUAAAAGCAUCUACUAAAUUGCAUAUU